UUGGAGGGCAAGUCUGGUGCCAGCAGCCGCGGUAAUUCCAGCUCCAAUAGCGUAUAUUAAAGUUGUUGCAGUUAAAAAGCUCGUAGUUGAAUUUCGGGGUUCCACCGUUGGUCGGGCUUUGUCUGUACUGGUGUGUAGAAUUUCUACCUUCUGGGGAACCAUCAUGCUAUUAAUUUAGCGUGGAGGGAAACCAGGACCUCUACCUUGAAAAAAUUAGUGUGUUCAAAGCAGGCUUAUGUCUGAAUACAUUAGCGUGGAAUAAUAGAAUAGGACGGUGGUCCUGUUUUGUUGGUUUCUGAAUCACCGUAAUGAUUAAUAGGGAUAGUUGGGGGCAUUAGUAUUCAAUUGUCAGAGGUGAAAUUCUUGGAUUUAUUGAAGACUAACUUCUGCGAAAGCAUUUGCCAAGGAUGUUUUCAUUAAUCAAGAACGAAAGUUAGGGGAUCGAAGACGAUCAGAUACCGUCGUAGUCUUAACCAUAAACUAUGCCGACUAGGGAUCGGACGAUGUUAAUUUUUCUUGACUCGUUCGGCGCCUUACGGGAAAC
rnacentral:rRNA from 1 species